GACGAACGCUGGCGGCGUGCCUAAUACAUGCAAGUCGAACGCUUCUUUCCUCCCGAGUGCUUGCACUCAAUUGGAAAGAGGAGUGGCGGACGGGUGAGUAACACGUGGGUAACCUACCCAUCAGAGGGGGAUAACACUUGGAAACAGGUGCUAAUACCGCAUAACAGUUUAUGCCGCAUGGCAUAAGAGUGAAAGGCGCUUUCGGGUGUCGCUGAUGGAUGGACCCGCGGUGCAUUAGCUAGUCGGUGAGGUAACGGCUCACCAAGGCCACGAUGCAUAGCCGACCUGAGAGGGUGAUCGGCCACACUGGGACUGAGACACGGCCCAGACUCCUACGGGAGGCAGCAGUAGGGAAUCUUCGGCAAUGGACGAAAGUCUGACCGAGCAACGCCGCGUGAGUGAAGAAGGUUUUCGGAUCGUAAAACUCUGUUGUUAGAGAAGAACAAGGACGUUAGUAACUGAACGUCCCCUGACGGUAUCUAACCAGAAAGCCACGGCUAACUACGUG
rnacentral:rRNA from 1 species